UAGAGUUUGAUCCUGGCUCAGAUUGAACGCUGGCGGUAUGCUUAACACAUGCAAGUCGAACGGUAGCAGGCUUUCGGGCGCUGACGAGUGGCGGACGGGUGAGUAAUGCAUAGGAAUCUGCCUAGUAGUGGGGGAUAACGUGGGGAAACUCACGCUAAUACCGCAUACGCCCUACGGGGGAAAGCGGGGGAUCGUAAGACCUCGCGCUAUUAGAUGAGCCUAUGUCAGAUUAGCUUGUUGGUGGGGUAAUGGCCUACCAAGGCGACGAUCUGUAGCUGGUCUGAGAGGAUGAUCAGCCACACUGGAACUGAGACACGGUCCAGACUCCUACGGGAGGCAGCAGUGGGGAAUAUUGGACAAUGGGCGCAAGCCUGAUCCAGCAAUACCGCGUGUGUGAAGAAGGCCUUAGGGUUGUAAAGCACUUUCAAUUGGGAGGAAUACCUGCCGGUCAAUACCCGGUAGAUUGACAUUACCUUUAGAAGAAGCACCGGCUAACUCCGUGCCAGCAGCCGCGGUAAUACGGAGGGUGCGAGCGUUAAUCGGAAUUACUGGGCGUAAAGAGUGCGUAGGCGGUUCGUUAAGUCCGCUGUGAAAGCCCUGGGCUUAACCUGGGAACGGCAGAGGAUACUGGCGAGCUAGAGUAUGGUAGAGGAGAGUGGAAUUUCAGGUGUAGCGGUGAAAUGCGUAGAUAUCUGAAGGAACACCAGUGGCGAAGGCGACUCCCUGGACUCAAACUGACGCUGAGGUACGAAAGCGUGGGUAGCAAACAGGAUUAGAUACCCUGGUAGUCCACGCUGUAAACGAUGUCAACUAGCCGUUGGUUCUAUAUACAGAAUUAGUGGCGCAGCUAACGCAUUAAGUUGACCGCCUGGGGAGUACGGCCGCAAGGUUAAAACUCAAAGGAAUUGACGGA
rnacentral:rRNA from 1 species